rnacentral:rRNA from 1 species
CCUACGGGUGCAGCAGUGGGGAAUAUUGGACAAUGGGCGAAAGCCUGAUCCAGCCAUGCCGCGUGUGUGAAGAAGGCCUUCGGGGUGUAAAGCACUUUCAGUGGGGAAGAAAGCCUUGGGGCUAAUACCCUCGAGGAAGGACAUCACCCACAGAAGAAGCACCGGCUAACUCCGUGCCAGCAGCCGCGGUAAUACGGAGGGUGCGAGCGUUAAUCGGAAUUACUGGGCGUAAAGCGCGCGUAGGCGGUCUGAUAAGCCGGUUGUGAAAGCCCCGGGCUCAACCUGGGAACGGCAUCCGGAACUGUCAGGCUAGAGUGCAGGAGAGGAAGGUAGAAUUCCCGGUGUAGCGGUGAAAUGCGUAGAGAUCGGGAGGAAUACCAGUGGCGAAGGCGGCCUUCUGGACUGACACUGACGCUGAGGUGCGAAAGCGUGGGUAGCAAACAGGAUUAGAUACCCUAGUAGUC